rnacentral:lncRNA from 10 species
AUGAAUCUCUUGUUGCUCAAUUGAAGCAGGAGAGUGAAAUUCUUCAAUUACCUGAGAAGAAUCAGCAUUGAGAAGGACAAUGGAGAAUAUGCUUCCCUCCAGCGAUAACCUGCUCUGCGUGAGGGCUACAUGUUCCCAGCUGGUUGAAGAUCCUUGCUGACAGACUGCACAGUGAUGGAUAGCCACACACCCCUGUACUGCCAAGAUGGCCUAUAUGCUCCACGCCAUCCUUUGGGAGGAAGCAAAGUAGCAUUGCCAUGUCAGAAAACCUCGAAGUCAAGAAUAAUUUGAAAUGCUGCAUCGUUUUUAAUCCUGAGAGACAGAAUAAGUAAUUGAUUCUUUCCAGCUCACAAAUUUGUAGAACUAUUCCGACUCAGUUUCAAUGGAAAUUAAUGCUAGACUUGAUUAAUAUGUGUUGCUUUUGAAUUAUGUACUAUAAAACUCCUAAGGACAAAACAACUUUUUAUGAAGAAUUUAUAAGUCAUCUGUCUAUAAUACAAGUCAGGUGUGUCAUUCUUUCAAUUACCAAGAUGUUCUCCCUUUACCAAACUUUAGUUAGGCUCCUCCGAGUUCUCUUUUUAAUUAGACUUCAACCUUUGGACUUUCAUGUUCAUCUGUACAUCACUCAGUUUUAGCAAGAAUCUUGUCAAGUUGGUUUAGUUAGAAUCCCACCCCUAUAACUGAUCAUCCUCAAUAUCUGAUCAAAUUUUUCAGUCCCCAUCACCCCUUAGGUGAUAUCUGAUUAACCUGGCCUGCCUUCAGCCAGGAAUUCUGUUAGGUCAGUUUAGCAAGAAUUCCACCCCCACUCCUCAAUCCCCGCCUUAUCUCUGAUGUUUCCAUCUUCUGGCCCCUCCUCUGCUUCUUAGUUAUAAAUCCUCACUUGUCCACGCUGUAUUCAGAAUUGAGCCUAGUUCCAUACUGAGGUAUUUUCCCCCUAUUGAAAUAGGUCCUGAAUACAAUAUAUUGUAACUGCUUUAAAUACUGUCUGCUUCUGGAUUUCUUUGUUGAAAUAAAACCAAAUUGUCCAGGUAAAACUUCAGUUUGUUUCUAAGCUGACUUCUGGAAAAAUUGAGCUUUACAAACACAUGCCAAGGCUCCUAUUUGAGUUUUCAAGUCAGAUAAAGAAAUCAAAAUUUAAUGUCUCCCAGAAAAGUGAAAAGUAUGAGAGAAAAUCCCUGAACAAAUCGAGCCCUUUUAUGUGAACAAAAGAUGUGACUAGAAGAGUCUGGCACAUAAGUAUGCAUAUAAUUAAAAAGAAAAAAGAACUUUCACAAAGCACUUACAUUGGCAACAUAAGCACACAUGUUUUUGAUUGAAUUGACAAGUUAUUAUUCUUUGGUUCCAACAUAUUAAUUAAAAAAUACAACUUGAGAUUGCAAAAAAAGAAAAUCAAGAAGAUAAAAUGAGAAAAAGAUCCAGUGGCUCAAAACUCUCCUUUAUUUAUAAGCCAGAAACCUGAAAAUUGUCUUUGAAUUUUUCUCUGUCAAAUCUCUAAUUAAUUAUUGACCCUUGCCAAUUUUCCCAUCUGAAUCUCUCUUGAAUUCAUAUACAUUGUUCCCACUUUUAGUAGUAAUACUCUGAUCUAGACUAUAAUAAUUUUUUACCUGUUUUGCACCAUGGCACAAAUAACUUCUCUCCUUUACUCCAAAUUGCAGUUUACUUCCCACACCAAAAGGAGACUAAUAUUCUUAAAAUCAUAUAUUCAUCCUUUUAAGAUGAAUGACAUUCAAAAAUGUCGGUCCCCCCAUAAGAGUGAGAAAAAGUUGGAUAAAUGUCAAGUUAUAGCUUUUAUGAGUCAUCCAAAGAACUGAGGUCAUAAGGCAACUGAGUAUUCUGAACUUUAGGAAAUGACAGAACCCUCAAAGAAGAGCUGGGACAAUGAGCAAAGCCAACACACAAGAGGGUAAAAAGAAAUUGAACAAUUUUCUAAACAUCAAAUGUGGAUAGCUUGUCAGUCUAGAAUAUCCUGAAGCCCCUGAUACAAGGGGAGUGAGUAACCUUUUGCAAGAUAUUUUCCUUGGACUUCCGCUAGGUGCUCCUACAAAAGUUUAGAAAUCCUGACGAAGGCCAGAGAGAGCCAUACUGGUGGUGAAGACGUGUAGGAGAAAGAGCAGCAGGCAAGCAAGACAUGAAUGACGACAACAAAUACUAUGCAGUUCCAGAGAACCUUCUUUCUUUUGAUACAAUAGUUUAAACUUCUGGGGAAGUAGCAGCAGACCUAAUGCUCUCUUCUUCCACUAUCUAAAUUGAUUUUCCCUUCAUGAUAGACUUCUUUCAAUAACUUGCAUUUCCCAUGAUUUCUCUCUUAAGGCUUCUGCAUACACCAUUUCCUCUGCCUAGGAAAUUGCUAUCUACUUCUGUGUAAUUUGUCUUCUAAUCUUUCAAACGUAUAUUUAAUUUUGAUGCUACUUUCCAUUAAUAAGUCCUCAUUGCCUCACUCAACUUAUUUGUACCUCAAGGUUUAAGCAUGUGUCUUAGAUACUUCAUCUAUUAUUUUAUACACUUUUUGUAAUAUUUACUGUUACUGAUUGUUUCUUCUAGACUGUAAGUUUCCUGAGAACAUAAACUACCUCCAUCUUGCACAAAUUUGUAUGCCCAGUACAAAGCACAGAAGAUUUAAAUUGCUGUUUAAAAGUUAUUAAACAGAAAAAUUGUUUACUACUAUUGAUGAAUAAAAAGUGCACAGAUUUUCUUAGAAAAAACUGUAUGCAUAUACUUCCAUGAAAAAUACUUUGUUGAACCUUAGGUCUAGCCAUAAUGAUCUCACAUUCUACACCAUUUCUAGGCAUUUGCACCUUCCUAAUAAAUACUCUUUCUAAUGACUGCAUUCUGUACUAAAUUCUAUUUUUUUAAUAAAUGGCCCAGUGAUAACUCCUCUGAAGUUAUCAAUUGCCAUCAAAAUACCAUACAAACAUAAAACCUGGUAUUUACAUUGAUAACCUUGCUUCUCAUUAAGAUUUUUUAUUUGCAAUAAUAGCUUACAUUGGAGAAUAUUAUCCAGUGGAAGAGGAUACAUAUUUGAUUAUCUCCGUAACAAGAAACAGAAAUUAUAGAACUAAUGCCAGGCAUUAAAAAUUCGUAAGAGAAAUUAUACUAUCAUCUUGAGGAAGCAGCAAAGUUUCAUGAUAGUUUUAAUACACUAAGUAUUUUGUCUGUAAAAUAAAAUUGAAUAUUUUUACAAGAGCAUUCUCAAAUAGCACAUGCAUAGCCCACCUUAAUUGCUUUUUAAAGGCAUAUCAGAUCCUUGGGA